rnacentral:rRNA from 1 species
GAUGAACGCUGGCGGUAUGCUUAACACAUGCAAGUCGAACGAAAUGCGAUGGGGUUUACUCUAUCGUAUGGCAGUGGCGGACGGGUGCGUAACGCGUAAGAACUUACCUUUUGGCGAGGGACAACCGCGGGAAACUGCGGCUAAUACCUCAUAGAGCUGAGGAGCGAAAGGUGAAAACCACCAAAAGAGAGGCUUGCGUCUGAUUAGCUAGUUGGUGAGGGUAAUGGCCUCCCAAGGCGACGAUCAGUAGCUGGUCUGAGAGGAUGAUCAGCCACACUGGAACUGAGACACGGUCCAGACUCCUACGGGAGGCAGCAGUGAGGAAUUUUCCGCAAUGGGCGAAAGCCUGACGGAGCAAUACCGCGUGGAGGAGGAAGGCCCGUGGGUCGUAAACUCCUUUUCUCAGAGAAGAACACAAUGACGGUAUCUGAGGAAUAA